CCUACGGGUGACAGCAGUGGGGAAUAUUGCACAAUGGGGGAAACCCUGAUGCAGCGACGCCGCGUGAGUGAAGAAGUAAUUCGUUAUGUAAAGCUCUAUCAGCAGGGAAGAAAAUGACGGUACCUGAGUAAGAAGCCCCGGCUAACUACGUGCCAGCAGCCGCGGUAAUACGUAGGGGGCAAGCGUUAUCCGGAUUUACUGGGUGGAAAGGGAGCGUAGACGGCAGUGCAAGUCUGGAGUGAAAGGCGGGGGCUCAACCCCCGGACUGCUCUGGAAACUGUACGGCUGGAGUGCAGGAGAGGUAAGUGGAAUUCCUAGGGUAGCGGUGAAAUGCGUAGAUAUUAGGAGGAACACCAGUGGCGAAGGCGGCUUACUGGACUGUAACUGACGUUGAGGCUCGAAAGCGUGGGGAGCAAACAGGAUUAGAUACCCCUGUAGUC
rnacentral:rRNA from 1 species